GGCGGAGUGAGAGGCAUAACAGGGUGGAGCGGGAGAGACAUAAAAGGAUGCCUCAGUCUUGAGCUUCUCAUAUUGCAUUUGUAGAGCCUCUGCUUUUGGAGUAUUAGCUUUCGGAUAUACAAAAAUAUGGCAGAAUUUAAUAGUGAACAACUCUUAAGUCUCUUCACUCAGUAUGCUAUGAAAGAAGGUAGCAAACAUCUGCUUUCCAUGGACGGACUUAAAAGUUUGAUUCAGAGCCACUUCUCAAAUGUUCUGGGUUCAAUGACUCUCAACGAUAUAUCCAAAUACGCGGACUUGGAUAAAGACGGGAAAAUCAACUUUAAUGAUUUCAAGGCACUGAUGAGCAAGUUAGGCAGUUUGGCAGGAUUGUCUAAUUUGGCUGGAAUAACCGGUUUGCUAUCCUAAGGCAUCCAAUGAAGAGACGACAGAUAGAAAGUACUUCCAAGAUCCCCAAACCAACCUAUUGUGGACAAUUACAAUUACAUUUGUACAAAGAAUCUCUCUAAAACUAAAUUUAAUCAUUGUGGAACAAUGGAUGUCAUUGAAUAAAAAUCUACUUUAUUUACUUUA